AUUGAACGCUGGCGGCAGGCCUAACACAUGCAAGUCGAGCGGAUGAUGGGAGCUUGCUCCUGGAUUCAGCGGCGGACGGGUGAGUAAUGCCUAGGAAUCUGCCUGGUAGUGGGGGACAACGUUUCGAAAGGAACGCUAAUACCGCAUACGUCCUACGGGAGAAAGCAGGGGACCUUCGGGCCUUGCGCUAUCAGAUGAGCCUAGGUCGGAUUAGCUUGUUGGUGAGGUAAUGGCUCACCAAGGCGACGAUCCGUAACUGGUCUGAGAGGAUGAUCAGUCACACUGGAACUGAGACACGGUCCAGACUCCUACGGGAGGCAGCAGAGGGGAAUAUUGGACAAUGGGCGAAAGCCUGAUCCAGCCAUGCCGCGUGUGUGAAGAAGGUCUUCGGAUUGUAAAGCACUUUAAGUUGGGAGGAAGGGUUGUAGAUUAAUACUCUGCAAUUUCGACGUUACCGACAGAAUAAGCACCGGCUAACUCUGUGCCAGCCGCCGCCGUAACAC
rnacentral:rRNA from 1 species